GGCUUGUGGCUCAGUGGUAGAGUGGUCACCUAGCAUGCAGGAGGCACUGGGUUCAAUCCUCAGCACCA
rnacentral:tRNA from 1 species